AGUGAACGCUGGCGGUAGGCCUAACACAUGCAAGUCGAACGGCAGCACAGUAAGAGCUUGCUCUUACGGGUUGCGAGUGGCGGACGGGUGAGGAAUACAUCGGAAUCUACUUUUUCGUGGGGGAUAACGUAGGGAAACUUACGCUAAUACCGCAUACGACCUACGGGUGAAAGCAGGGGAUCUUCGGACCUUGCGCGAUUGAAUGAGCCGAUGUCGGAUUAGCUAGUUGGCGGGGUAAAGGCCCACCAAGGCGACGAUCCGUAGCUGGUCUGAGAGGAUGAUCAGCCACACUGGAACUGAGACACGGUCCAGACUCCUACGGGAGGCAGCAGUGGGGAAUAUUGGACAAUGGGCGCAAGCCUGAUCCAGCCAUACCGCGUGGGUGAAGAAGGCCUUCGGGUCGUAAAGCCCUUUUGUUGGGAAAGAAAAGCAGCAGGUUAAUACCACGCUGUUCUGACGGUACCCAAAGAAUAAGCACCGGCUAACUUCGUG
rnacentral:rRNA from 1 species